rnacentral:misc_RNA from 1 species
GAUGAAGAACGCAGCGAAAUGCGAUAAGUAGUGUGAAUUGCAGAAUUCAGUGAAUCAUCGAAUCUUUGAACGCACAUUGCGCCCCUUGGUAUUCCAUGGGGCAUGCCUGUUCGAGCGUCAUUUGUACCUUCAAGCUCUGCUUGGUGUUGGGUGAUUGUCUAUCUUUGUAGACUCGCCUUAAAGUCAUUGGCAGCCGGCAUAUUGGCCUGGGAGCGCAGCACAAGUCGCGCUUCUUGCCAUGAAUGUUGGCGUCCAGUAAGUCUACAUAUUUUGCUCUUGACCUCGGAUCAGGUAGGGAUACCCGCUGAACUUAAGCAUAUCAAUAAGCGGAGGA